rnacentral:tRNA from 1 species
GGAGGGCUGGCCGAGCCAGGCAAGGCACCGGGUUGCUACCCCGUGGUCCGGGGCCGAGGUCCCGGCGCGCGGUCGAAUCGCGCGCCCUCCG